UGAAUCAUUAGCAAGAUGAAGAUAAUUCUCAUGAUAAGCACCACCUUUCUCAUCUCUCUCAUCAUUUUUCAUGGAACCUCUCCUCGUUCUAGCAUGGUCGAGGCAAGAACUUUGCAGGAGAGUGGAAGCAGCUUGUUUGGGAAGUCGGAUAAUUACAAGAAAAGACCCUAUCCCUCACCACCACCGCCUCCAACAGUAGCACCACCGAUUAUACCAAGUCCGGAAGAUUUAUUACCCAUGGAAUCUCCAAAUCCUUACACAGCUUCUGCCUGAAUUUAUUUAUGGAUCUCAAUAUAUUUUAUUUAGAUUAUGAUCGAAGACAGUACUACUACUAGUGUACUUUAUUUUCAUUGCUUUUGUAAUUUUCUUUUUCUUUUUUUUGGGCUAGUCUGAAUUAUAGAUUUCUGAAUUCCUCUACUAUAUAUUGAACAUAAUUGAAGAUUAUGUCUAUGAAUUGAUCACUAGAGUACCUUGUAAUCAAUUCAACUUAAUUAA